rnacentral:rRNA from 1 species
AGUUUGAUCCUGGCUCAGGAUGAACGCUGGCGGCGUGCCUAAUACAUGCAAGUCGAGCGAACGGACGAGAAGCUUGCUUCUCUGAUGUUAGCGGCGGACGGGUGAGUAACACGUGGAUAACCUACCUAUAAGACUGGGAUAACUUCGGGAAACCGGAGCUAAUACCGGAUAAUAUUUUGAACCGCAUGGUUCAAAAGUGAAAGACGGUCUUGCUGUCACUUAUAGAUGGAUCCGCGCUGCAUUAGCUAGUUGGUAAGGUAACGGCUUACCAAGGCAACGAUGCAUAGCCGACCUGAGAGGGUGAUCGGCCACACUGGAACUGAGACACGGUCCAGACUCCUACGGGAGGCAGCAGUAGGGAAUCUUCCGCAAUGGGCGAAAGCCUGACGGAGCAACGCCGCGUGAGUGAUGAAGGUCUUCGGAUCGUAAAACUCUGUUAUUAGGGAAGAACAUAUGUGUAAGUAACUGUGCACAUCUUGACGGUACCUAAUCAGAAAGCCACGGCUAACUACGUGCCAGCAGCCGCGGUAAUACGUAGGUGGCAAGCGUUAUCCGGAAUUAUUGGGCGUAAAGCGCGCGUAGGCGGUUUUUUAAGUCUGAUGUGAAAGCCCACGGCUCAACCGUGGAGGGUCAUUGGAAACUGGAAAACUUGAGUGCAGAAGAGGAAAGUGGAAUUCCAUGUGUAGCGGUGAAAUGCGCAGAGAUAUGGAGGAACACCAGUGGCGAAGGCGACUUUCUGGUCUGUAACUGACGCUGAUGUGCGAAAGCGUGGGGAUCAAACAGGAUUAGAUACCCUGGUAGUCCACGCCGUAAACGAUGAGUGCUAAGUGUUAGGGGGUUUCCGCCCCUUAGUGCUGCAGCUAACGCAUUAAGCACUCCGCCUGGGGAGUACGACCGCAAGGUUGAAACUCAAAGGAAUUGACGGGGACCCGCACAAGCGGUGGAGCAUGUGGUUUAAUUCGAAGCAACGCGAAGAACCUUACCAAAUCUUGACAUCCUUUGACAACUCUAGAGAUAGAGCCUUCCCCUUCGGGGGACAAAGUGACAGGUGGUGCAUGGUUGUCGUCAGCUCGUGUCGUGAGAUGUUGGGUUAAGUCCCGCAACGAGCGCAACCCUUAAGCUUAGUUGCCAUCAUUAAGUUGGGCACUCUAAGUUGACUGCCGGUGACAAACCGGAGGAAGGUGGGGAUGACGUCAAAUCAUCAUGCCCCUUAUGAUUUGGGCUACACACGUGCUACAAUGGACAAUACAAAGGGCAGCGAAACCGCGAGGUCAAGCAAAUCCCAUAAAGUUGUUCUCAGUUCGGAUUGUAGUCUGCAACUCGACUACAUGAAGCUGGAAUCGCUAGUAAUCGUAGAUCAGCAUGCUACGGUGAAUACGUUCCCGGGUCUUGUACACACCGCCCGUCACACCACGAGAGUUUGUAACACCCGAAGCCGGUGGAGUAACCUUUUAGGAGCUAGCCGUCGAAGGUGGGACAAAUGAUUGGGGUGAAGUCGUAACAAGGUAGCCGUAUCGGAAGGUGCGGCUGGAUCACCUCCUU